ACGUUAUGUGGGCACUCUAAGGAGACUGCCGGUGACAACCGGAGGAAGGUGGGGAUGACGUCAAGUCAUCAUGGCCCUUACGGCCUGGGCUACACACGUGCUACAAUGGUCGGUACAAAGGGUUGCCAAGCCGCGAGGUGGAGCUAAUCCCAUAAAACCGAUCGUAGUCCGGAUCGCAGUCUGCAACUCGACUGCGUGAAGUCGGAAUCGCUAGUAAUCGUGAAUCAGAAUGUCACGGUGAAUACGUUCCCGGGCCUU
rnacentral:rRNA from 1 species